UUGAGUUUGAUGAAUAAAAAGUACACCUUCUUAUCAAAAAAAAAAAAAAUUCUAAGGAAAAAGCCCCGCCCAAAAUUAAGCCGUAGAACCAAAUAUUAGAAUCUACUCCAUGCACGUCUCACGCCUGUGCACGUGUCUCACCUUUCCAUCUCUAGGGUUGCCUUCUCCGUCCACUACCCAUACACGUCUCUCCUAGGGAAGAAACUUCAAGCUUUGAAACUCCACGUACGGAAACUCUACUCCAUUGCUCAGCAACUGCCCCGAACGGAAUACUCAAGUGCCGAGUUUUACUCCAUAUGACGGAAGCCCAACCUGAAUUCUUCAAUUGCACUAAGCCCACUGUCCAACUCCACGCACGACAUCACACCCAACCCCAGAAAAACCAACCAACACGUGCACACCAAACCUCUGUUUUUGCCAAUUAAAACAGAGCAUCUGUUGUGCUUUCAGACCUUUCACGUCGGAAGCCUAGCGUCGUCUUCAUCACCUUCACGUCGUCUCCAACUGCACAGAAAGUACCGCCGAGCACUGCUCAUCAAUCGGUUGUUCUUCCUCUCACUCCACCCACGCACGAAAAGGCCGCCUGGAACUUCAGCCGCUGGUUAGUCUCGUUUGGGUGACGAUUGACUAUUCAUUUAGCACUGUUGUAAGGAAUUUCUGAAAUACUAAGAAGUUCAGGUAAGUGGGAUUCUUAUACUAGACUUUGCAUAAAAAGAAAAUAAAGCGAGGUUGACUUUUAAAAUAUGCAUAUUUUGUUUUCGAAAAGAAUUGUGAAAAACAACCUCAAUUAUUUGUUUUGGUAUUAUUCGUGAACUCUAUAUGAAGGAGAAAGUAUUUUGUUAUGACUAGUGUAAAUAUGAGCUUAUUUUCGCAUAUUGUUUAUGAACUUUGUAAAAAGAGUGAAAAUGAGAUUGUUAAAGUUUUGUUGUGGUUAAGAUGAAGAUACCUUGAUUUUAUUUUGUUAAAUAUAUAAAAUGAUCUGAAGCUACUCAGUAUUUUAUUCUGAUACGAUGUGUAAGCUGAAAAACCUUUGGCAUGACUUUCUGAUUAUGAAUUUGAUUCUGCUUCCACUCUAUUCAGAUAUGGCCCUACUUCAGGUUAUAAUAGUAGGUACGGCCCAACCACGGGUUAUAAUAGUAGGUACAGCCCAACCACUACUUAUAAUAGUGGAUACGGCCCAACCACGGGUAAUUAUAGUGGAUACGGCCCAACCACGGGUUAGAAUAGUGGGUAUGGCCCUACCACAGUUUAUAGUAGUGGUCUCUGUUUGAGUGCACACCUUGGUGAUAGAGUGAUUAAGUUCUGUCUGGUCAUCCGCAGAUGCACAACCCUACCACGAGGGUUAUACAUGGACUCGGUUCUGAUAUGAUGUUCUAUUUUGAUGUUCUGAUAUGAUGAUGAUCAUCAUCAUCAUUUAUGCUAUGCCAAAGGAUUAUUUUUAAUAAGAUUGUUUCUGAAAGUUUCGCUCUGAUAUUUUGAUACGUGUUUUGUAUUCUGAAAGCAAGUGCUCUAAUUUUAGUAUUCUGGGGGUAAAUGUUUUGUUCUGUAUUAUAAACUCUAUAAAAGCUUAUGUUUGCACAUUAGUAUAUGUUCUUUGCUUAUUGAGUUGUUGAUAACUCACUCCUUAUCUCCAUAAUAUUUUUCAGAUAAUUUUGAUGUUUCAGCUAGGAGCCAAGAGUAGGAACUGUUAACAAUAUUCGAUGAUCGUUGAAGAAUAAGUGCUAGAGGGUACAAGUAGUUAUUGGGGAGUUUUAUUUGAUAGAUUUAUCAUUUAUGUCAUUUUGAUGUUUGAGUUAUGGAUAUUUAUGGUGUUGGAGGAGACUUUAAUUUAUUUUAUUGAGUUUUUACUUCGGUAUCUUGAUGGAAGAACAAGUACACUUGGUUUGAAUAAAUAAAUUUUUUAUUUUGGAGUCCUUGGAUUAUAUAUGGUUGUGUUAUUGGAGAUGUUUUCAAGUUAUAAGAGUUAACUCUCCGACCCCUUCGGGACUAGGGCGUUACAUAAACAACUUUUCCCGAUAAGACAAUUUAGGAAUUUUAUUCCUAAUUAUUACAUGACAUCUUCCUGGACUUGGGAUAGUAUUUGUGCUAUUCAUUUUUUAGUGAGUCAGUUGAUGUCUUUUAUUUUUUUAAUAAAGUUUGUUUAACGUGCUCAUGAAUCUAACUGAUUGCAUAAUUGCAGCAUGUUUUUUAUGUAAAUAUGCCUUACCCUUCACCAAGUAAUCUGGUAGACUUUAUCCUAUUUGAUUAUUCAUUUCAGAUGCCAUCUUAUAUGCCCUACCCUCCGCCGUGUAAUCCGGAAGACCGACAUCAACUAUGCCAACUGCUGCAAAAUUUUUACAAAAUCUUGGAAGUACAUCAAGGAUGACUAAUGAAAGCUUUCAUGACGCCGAUGGUAUUACAGUUUUGUUUCCUUGAUUAUAAUGACUGUAAUAUUGUGUUGAUGAUAAUCCAUCCAUAUGUUUCCAUUUUUAGAAAUGGUCUUUGACAUAAAUGAAGAUUUAGAGGGUACCACUGUUGUCCAGGAUGAUGACGUAUGAGUUGAAACAGUAAGAUCCGAUAUGGAAUUUGACGGUGUAAAAGAGCUUACACCCUACUAUAAGUAAUAUACCAAGCAACAGGGUUUUGGUAUACGGACCUAGAGGACUAGGAGAGAUGAUGAUGGGAGGCAUGUGUACGUGACCGUUGGCUGUGCCAGUGGCGAAAAGUACCAACCUAAAAAUAGUAAUAUCUCGAAACUAUAGCCAACAACUAGAACAGAUUGUAAGGUAAGAGUAAAUGCAACGUUGAGUAAGAAUGACAAGUGGGUUUUCACCACUGUUGAAAAUGUGCACAACCACUUAAUUGUGAGCCACAAGAAGAUAAGACUCUUGCAGCCUCACAAGCAUCUAAAUGAAUACAGUCAAAGGAUCAUCGACCUGAAUGAUCGAGCCGGUAUACGAAUGAACAAGAAUUUUUAUUCUUUUCUCAUUGAUGCGGGGGAUUUUGAGAAUCUCCAAUUUCAAGAGAAAGAUUGUCAGAAUUUCAUUGACAAAGCUAGACAUUUAAUGUUGGGUAAAGGAGGUGCCAAAGCACUUAAUCAGUAUUUCAAAAGAAUGAGAGAUUAGAAUGAUGGUUCUUUUUCUAACAUAGAUGUGGAUGAUGAGGGAAGGUGGUGGAAUGUGUUUUGGGAUGAUGCUCGGAGUCAAGCAGCCUGUGAGUAUUUCAAAGACGUUGUAACCUUCAAUACAAUGUACCUAACAAAUAGAUAUUGGAUGUCUUUUGCUCCUUUCUUUGGUGUUAAUGAUCAUGGGCAAUCCAUAUUAAUAGGGGCAAGAUUGCUUUCAAGCGAGGACACAUACUUUUGUGUGAUUGUUUCGAAUGUGGUUGUAUUGUUUGAAUGAUCGAGCAUCCAAAGCCAUCAUAACCAACCAAGAUCGGGCAAUGAAUAGUGUUAUUAUCAUUGUAUUUCCCAAAACUCAUCAUAGAUAUUGUUUAUGACAUAUAAUACUCAAUCUUUCAGAGAAGUUAGGAUCUCACGCCAAAUUUCAGUUAGGAUAUUGUAGAUUUUGAUGACCACCUUGAUGACAUCAGCAAGGACUGGUUGAAUAUGGAACUCUUCAAGUAAUCUUGUCCGUGGUUCUAGUUUAUCUUCCACCAUUUUGUUGUGCAGUUGGCUUAUGUGUGUAUGUUUAACUGAGUUUCUUAUGCUGGAUUUGGGAUGACAUGGUUGAACUGAUCCACUGGUUUUGGGGAUGAGGCUAAAUUGAUCAUAAAUUUAAAUCAAUGAGGGGACAAUGCGUGUUUGAUUUUGAGAGAGAUAUUCUUUUGAUCAUAUAAGGAACAAAAUAACAUGUAGUUGCAUAGAUGUGAAUUUUAUUAGAUAGAGGAGUUCUUGAUUGGCUUGUUUUCAUGUCAAUCUAUGUUUCUCUCCCUCUCCUAAGACCCAUGAAUUGUACUGAAAAGUUACUAAAAUGAUUUUAAACUAAUUUUUUGUUUUCUAA